rnacentral:lncRNA from 1 species
ACUCAGUGCAAGGAGGAACUCAAAUGGGAACUGAUCUUUCAUCAAAGAGAAUUCCUAAAUGAUCUGAAUCCUCCAGGUAAGCAAUACUGUAUGUAUACUUUGUAUUCUUAUGAAGACUUGGUGCUAUUGGCUUUAGUUUGGAACUUUUAAUUGUUAACAUAUUCUUGGCAAUUGGACAACUUGUUUAUGAAUUUCAAGUCAGUCUGGUACCAGACUUUAUAGGCAUGGAAGCUAAGUACCCC